AGAGUUUGGGCUGGCAUUUGUGUUCUUUUAGGGUCUGUAUGACAUCUGCCCAGGAUCUUCUAGAUUUCAUCGUCUCUGGUGAGAAGUCUGGUGUAAUUCUAAUAGGUCUGCCUUUAUAUGUUACUUGACUUUUUUCCCUUACUGCUUUUAAUAUUCUUUCUUUGUUUAGCGCAUUUGGUGUUUUGAUUAUUAUGUAUCAUGAGGAAUUUCUUUUCUGGUCCAGUCUAUUUGGAGUUCUGUAGGCUUCUUGUAUGUUCAUGGGCAUCUCUUUCUUUAGGUUUUGGAAAGUUUUCUUCUAUAAUUUUAUUGAAGAUUUUUACUGACCUUUUAAGUUGGAAAUCUUUGCUCUCUUCUAUACCUAUUACCCUUAGAUUUGGUCUUCUCAUUGUGUCCUGGAUCUCCUGACUGGUUUGUUUUCUGCAUUUUCUUUGACUGUUGUGUCAAUGUUUUCUAUGGUAUCUUUUGCACCUAAGAUUCUCUCUUCAAUCUCUUGUAUUCUGUUAGUGAUGCUUGCAUCUAUGACUCCUGAUCUCUUUCCGAGGUUUUCUAACUCCAGGUUUGUCUCCCUUUGUGAUUUCUUUAUUGUUUCUAGUUCCAUUUUUUUAGAUCUUGAAUGGUUUUGUUCAUUUCCUUUGCCUGUUUGAUGUGUUUUCCUGUAAUUCUUUAAGGGAUUUUAGUGUUUCCUCUUAAAGGGCUUCUAGCUGUUUACCUGUGAUCUCCUGUAUUUCUUUAAAGGAAUUAUUUAUGUCCUUAAAAUCUUCUAUUACCAUCAUGAGAAGUGAUUUUAAAUCCAAAUGUUGCUUUUCCAGUGUGAUGGUAUAUCCAGGACUUGCUGUGGUGGGAGAACUGGUUUCAGAUGAUGCCAAGUAACCUUGCCAAAUAACCUCUGUUGCUUAUGUUCUUACACUUGCCUCCUGCCAUCUGAUCGUCUCUAGUGCUACCUUCCCUAGCUAUAUCUUACUGGAACCUGUCCUUCUUGUGAUCCUGGUUGUGUCAGAACUCCUGAGAGUUCAGCUGUCUCUGUGAUCCUGUGAUUCUGGGAUCCUGAGAUCCUGGGUGUGUGAGAACUCCUGAGAGUCAAGCUGCCUCUGGGACCCUAAGAUCCUGGUGUGACCAAACUCCUGGGAUCCCGGGAUGCUGGGAUCCUGGGCGUGUUAGAGUACCUGGGAGUGGAGCGUCCUCUGGGUGUUGUGGGAUUGGGGCUGUGGAGUUUGCACCCAAGGCCUGCUCAGGGCACAGGCUCAGACGGGAAGGAACCUGUGCCACUGAUCAGGCGGAGUUCCUGGGUGCCUGGGUCCAGUUAGUUCCGGUGUUGGGGCAGAUGUUGUGUCUGCCUCACCUCUGAUCCUAUGAUCCUGGGAGUGUUAGAGCUCCUGGGAGUGGAUCUUUCUCUGGGUGUUGUGGGGCUGGCUGUGGAGUUCCUGCCGAAGGUCUGCUCAGGGCACAGGCUCAGACCAGAAGGCCAAAUACAUUUUUUCUUUUUUUUUUAUUAGAUAUUUUCUUUAUUUACAUUUCAAAUGUUAUCCCCUUUCCUAGUUUUCCCUCCAAAAAUCCCCUCUCCGCUCUCCCCUCCCUGCUUCCUCUGCUCCCCAACUUACCCACUCCCAUUCCCAGUCCUGGCAUUCCCCUAUACUGGGUGGGGCUUCAGAUCCCUUCAGCUCCCUGGAUACUUUCUCUAGCUCCUUCACUGGGGACAUGUGUGGGAUCACAGGACAGUUCUGUGAAGUUGGUUCUUUCUUUCCUCCUUUACAUGUGUUCCAAGGAUGGAACACAGGGCAGCUGACUUUUGCAACAAAUGCUUUACCUUCUGAGCCACCCUGCCAUCCCCUUCCCUCUCUUAAAGUCGUAAAUGGAGCUGAAGGCUGGAACGCUACUGCCUCUGAACUGUCAUAGCAUAUAGUGUAUUGUCUCAUAAAGUCAUGCCACAACUAGAAAUUUUACUUUGCUCUCUUGGUAAUCUCUAUUUCCCUCUGCAGAUGAGUCUUUCAAUAUUGGGUUAAAAUUUGAAAUUGCCUUUGAAGUCCGCCCCCGGAGCAGUUCUGGAACCCUUGUCCAUGGCCACAGCGUCAACGGGGAAUACCUGAACGUGCACAUGAGAAACGGACAGGUAGUAUCCUGAGCGUUAACAGUCUAGCUGGCCUAACCCUGAGUGCCGAUGUAAAGCAGCAGACGUGUGUUUCACAGCAUUACUUCAUCAGUCUUUCUAGUGGGAUAGAGAGGAAAGCUGAACAUGAGUGUUAAGUGUGUGCAAUGCGUGUGUUCACACUCACGCACUGGGAGUUCAUUAGAACAGAGUCAUGCGACUGUGGCAAGACUACCAGAAAGUCACCAACAACAGCAUGGCAUUUU
rnacentral:lncRNA from 1 species